rnacentral:rRNA from 1 species
UACGUAGGGUGCGAGCGUUAAUCGGAAUUACUGGGCGUAAAGCGUGCGCAGGCGGUUUUGUAAGCCAGAUGUGAAAGCCCCGGGCUUAACCUGGGAAUGGCAUUUGGGACUGCAAGGCUUGAGUGCGGCAGAGGAGACUGGAAUUCCUGGUGUAGCAGUGAAAUGCGUAGAUAUCAGGAGGAAUACCGAUGGCGAAGGCAGGUCUCUGGGCUGACACUGACACUCAUGCACGAAAGCGUGGGGAGCAAACAGG